rnacentral:rRNA from 1 species
GGUAGCACAGMGAGCUUGCUCYCGGKUGACGAGUGGCGGACGUGUGAGUAAUGUCUGGGAAACUGCCUGAUGGAGGGGGUAACUACUGGAAACGGUAGCUAAUACCGCAUAACGUCGCAAGACRAAGAGGGGGACCUUCGGGCCUCUUGCCAUCRGAUGUGCCCWGAUGSKAUUAGCUAGUAGGYGGGGUAACGGCUCACCUAGGCGACGAUCCCUAGCUGGUCUGAGAGGAUGACCAGCCACACUGGAACUGAGACACGGYCCAGACUCC